AUUGAACGCUGGCGGCAUGCCUUACACAUGCAAGUCGAACGGCAGCACGGGAGCAAUCCUGGUGGCGAGUGGCGAACGGGUGAGUAAUAUAUCGGAACGUGCCCAGUCGUGGGGAUAACGUAGCGAAAGCUACGCUAAUACCGCAUACGAUCUAUGGAUGAAAGCGGGGGAUCGCAAGACCUCGCGCGAUUGGAGCGGCCGAUAUCAGAUUAGGUAGUUGGUGAGGUAAAGGCUCACCAAGCCGACGAUCUGUAGCUGGUCUGAGAGGACGACCAGCCACACUGGGACUGAGACACGACCCAGACUCCUACGGGAGGCAGCAGUGGGGAAUUUUGGACAAUGGGCGCAAGCCUGAUCCAGCAAUGCCGCGUGCAGGAUGAAGGCCU
rnacentral:rRNA from 1 species